rnacentral:rRNA from 1 species
UACGUAGGGUCCGAGCGUUGUCCGGAAUCAUUGGGCGUAAAGAGCGUGUAGGCGGCCAGGUAGGUCGGUUGUGAAAACUAGAGGCUCAACCUCUAGACGUCGACCGAAACCAUCUGGCUAGAGUCCGGAAGAGGAGAGUGGAAUUCCUGGUGUAGCGGUGAAAUGCGCAGAUAUCAGGAAGAACACCCGUGGCGAAGGCGGCUCUCUGGGACGGUACUGACGCUGAGACGCGAAAGCGUGGGGAGCGAACAGG